ensembl:misc_RNA Y_RNA Y RNA
GGCUGGUCCAGGUGCAGUGGUGUUUACAGCUAAUUGAUCACAGCCAGUUACAGAUUUCUUUGUUCCUCCACUCCCACUGCUUCACUUGACUAGCCUAAA